rnacentral:lncRNA from 1 species
AGUUUGAUCUCAGACUGCUGUGCUAGCAAUCAGCGAGAUUCUGUGGGCGUAGGACCCUCCAAGCCAGGUGUGGGAUAUAGUCUCGUGGUGCACCGUUUUUUAAGCCGGUCUGAAAAGCGCAAUAUUCGGGUGGGAGUGACCCGCUUUUCCAGCAGUAGAAAACAGAUGAAUACACCUAGAUUUCUUCCUGCGUGAAUCCAGUUGAGGGGAAGGUAUAAAAUUUUCAAAUGGAGGAGUAUACCUGAACCUAAUCAUGGAUGUGAUUUUAUGGUCUCGCUUUGUCACCUAGCAGUGUAGUGGUGUAAUCACAGCUCACUGCAGCCUCGACCUCCUGGGCGCAAGGAAUCUUCCAGCCUCAGCCACCCAAGUAGCUGAGACUACAAAUACAGAUAAGCUGAUUCUAAAACUUACAAGAAUGGCAAAGAAACAAGAAGAGCUUAAACUGCAAUCAUCAACAGAGAAGCUUUCUGCAACCAAAGUGAAGACUGAAGCCUUAGGCUAUGGCAGAAGUUGGGCGCCUGAAGUACACGUGGAAAUAUGCCAACUGAACAUUGGACUACCAC